AGAGUUUGAUCAUGGCUCAGAGCGAACGCUGGCGGCAGGCCUAACACAUGCAAGUCGAACGGAUCCUUCGGGAUUAGUGGCGGACGGGUGAGUAACACGUGGGAACGUGCCUUUUGGUUCGGAACAACUCAGGGAAACUUGAGCUAAUACCGGAUAAGCCCUUCGGGGGAAAGAUUUAUCGCCAUUAGAGCGGCCCGCGUCUGAUUAGCUAGUUGGUGAGGUAAAGGCUCACCAAGGCUACGAUCAGUAGCUGGUCUGAGAGGAUGAUCAGCCACAUUGGGACUGAGACACGGCCCAAACUCCUACGGGAGGCAGCAGUGGGGAAUCUUGCGCAAUGGGCGAAAGCCUGACGCAGCCAUGCCGCGUGAAUGAUGAAGGUCUUAGGAUUGUAAAAUUCUUUCACCGGGGACGAUAAUGACGGUACCCGGAGAAGAAGCCCCGGCUAACUUCGUGCCAGCAGCCGCGGUAAUACGAAGGGGGCUAGCGUUGCUCGGAAUUACUGGGCGUAAAGGGAGCGUAGGCGGACUGUUAAGUUAGAGGUGAAAGCCCAGGGCUCAACCUUGGAAUUGCCUUUGAUACUGGCAGUCUUGAGUACGGAAGAGGUAUGUGGAACUCCGAGUGUAGAGGUGAAAUUCGUAGAUAUUCGGAAGAACACCAGUGGCGAAGGCGACAUACUGGUCCGUUACUGACGCUGAGGCUCGAAAGCGUGGGGAGCAAACAGGAUUAGAUACCCCCGUAGUCC
rnacentral:rRNA from 1 species